rnacentral:misc_RNA from 1 species
AAGUCGUAACAAGGUUUCCGUAGGUGAACCUGCGGAAGGAUCAUUAAUGGGUUACUGAACUUCGGUUCAACCUCCAACCCUGUGUCAAAUUACCAUGUUGCUUUGGCAGGCCAGUCUUUGGCUGCCGGGGGUCUUUCGGCCUCUGGUUUGUGCCUGCCAGUGGCCCCAUUAAAUUCUUUUUUUAACCAUUCUGUCUGAGUCAUAAGUUAAAUUUAUAAAA